CGCCUUAUGGCAGACGCACUAGACUUAGGAUCUAGCGCCUUUGGCGUGGGGGUUCGACUCCCUUCACCC
rnacentral:tRNA from 1 species